GACGAACGCUGGCGGCGUGCUUAACACAUGCAAGUCGAGCGGUAAGGCCCUUCGGGGUACACGAGCGGCGAACGGGUGAGUAACACGUGAGUAAUCUGCCCAUCACUUCGGGAUAACUCCGGGAAACCGGUGCUAAUACCGAAUAUGACCACUUCAGGCUUCUGAUGGUGGUGGAAAGUUCCGGCGGUGAUGGAUGGUCUCGCGGCCUAUCAGCUUGUUGGUGGGGUAGUGGCCUACCAAGGCUUCGACGGGUAGCCGGCCUGAGAGGGUGGCCGGCCACACUGGGACUGAGAGACGGCCCAGACUCCUACGGGAGGCAGCAGUGGGGAAUAUUGGACAAUGGGCGAAAGCCUGAGACAGCAACGCCGCGUGAGGGAUGACGGCCUUCGGGUUGUAAACCUCUUUCAGCAGGGACGAAGCGCAAGUGACGGUACCUGCAGAAGAAGCACCGGCCAACUACGUG
rnacentral:rRNA from 1 species